UCUCUCUCUCUCUCUCUCUCUCUCUCUCUCUCUCUCUCUCUCUCUCUCUCUCUCUCUGAGAGAAAGAUCUCUUUGGCUAACGGAGCUUGCAGCCAGUGAACCCGCCUUCCACGUUGGUGUGAAGACAGAAGUGAGGUGGGGGGCAGGGAGGGGGUGUGAGAGAAUCUAAGAGCCAGAGGGAGCAGAGAGAGAGAGAGAGAAAGAGAGAGAGAGAGAGAGAGAGAGAGAGAGCGCUCGAGAGAGGAAGAGAGGAGGUGGUGGAGGAGGAGGACUAGUGUAGGGUGGAAAGGAAGAGUGAGCGCGAGCAAGUUGAAGGGAGGGGGUAUAAGAGCCAGCGAAUUCUUUUUCUUUUCCUGUUAUUAUUUUGACGACUCCCGAGUUGCGCCCAUGCUCUUGUCAGCUUCGUUUUAGGCGUAGCAUGGCCAGGCAGAAGAAAAUGGGGCAAAGCGUGCUCCAGGCGGUCUUCUUUUUAGUCCUGGGGCUUUUGGGUCAUUCUCACGGAGGAUUCCCCAACACCAUCAGCAUAGGUGGACUUUUCAUGAGAAAUACGGUGCAGGAGCACAGCGCUUUCCGCUUUGCCGUGCAGUUAUACAACACCAACCAGAACACCACCGAGAAGCCCUUCCAUUUGAAUUACCACGUAGAUCACUUGGAUUCCUCCAAUAGUUUUUCUGUGACUAAUGCUUUCUGCUCCCAGUUCUCGAGAGGGGUGUACGCCAUCUUUGGAUUCUAUGACCAGAUGUCAAUGAACACUCUGACCUCCUUCUGUGGGGCCCUGCACACAUCUUUUGUCACACCCAGCUUCCCCACUGAUGCAGAUGUGCAGUUUGUCAUCCAGAUGCGCCCAGCCUUGAAGGGUGCUAUUCUGAGUCUUCUGGGUCACUACAAGUGGGAGAAGUUUGUGUAUCUCUAUGACACAGAAAGAGGAUUUUCCAUCCUCCAAGCAAUUAUGGAAGCAGCAGUGCAAAACAAUUGGCAAGUGACAGCAAGGUCUGUGGGAAACAUAAAGGACGUCCAAGAAUUCAGGCGCAUCAUUGAAGAAAUGGACAGGAGACAGGAAAAGCGAUACCUGAUUGACUGCGAAGUCGAAAGGAUUAACACAAUUUUGGAACAGGUUGUGAUCCUGGGGAAACAUUCAAGAGGUUAUCACUACAUGCUUGCUAACCUGGGUUUUACUGAUAUUUUGCUAGAAAGAGUCAUGCAUGGGGGAGCUAAUAUUACAGGAUUCCAGAUUGUCAACAAUGAAAACCCUAUGGUUCAGCAGUUCAUACAGCGCUGGGUGAGACUGGAUGAAAGGGAAUUCCCUGAAGCCAAGAAUGCACCACUAAAGUAUACAUCUGCGUUGACACACGAUGCAAUAUUGGUCAUAGCAGAAGCUUUCCGCUAUCUGAGGAGGCAGCGAGUGGAUGUGUCCCGGAGAGGCAGUGCUGGAGACUGCUUAGCAAAUCCUGCUGUGCCCUGGAGUCAAGGAAUUGAUAUCGAGAGAGCUCUGAAAAUGGUGCAAGUACAGGGAAUGACUGGAAACAUCCAAUUUGACACUUAUGGACGUAGAACAAAUUAUACUAUUGAUGUGUAUGAAAUGAAAGUCACUGGCUCUCGAAAAGCUGGCUACUGGAAUGAGUAUGAAAGAUUUGUGCCUUUCUCAGAUCAGCAAAUCAGUAAUGACAGUGCAUCCUCAGAGAACCGGACCAUAGUGGUGACUACCAUUCUGGAAUCACCAUAUGUAAUGUAUAAGAAGAACCAUGAGCAACUGGAAGGAAAUGAGCGAUAUGAAGGCUAUUGUGUAGACUUAGCUUAUGAAAUAGCCAAACAUGUAAGGAUCAAAUACAAAUUAUCCAUUGUCGCCGACGGGAAAUAUGGUGCAAGGGAUCCGGAGACUAAAAUAUGGAACGGCAUGGUUGGGGAACUUGUCUAUGGAAGGGCUGAUAUAGCUGUUGCUCCACUCACUAUAACGCUGGUCCGUGAAGAAGUCAUCGAUUUCUCAAAGCCAUUUAUGAGCCUGGGCAUCUCCAUCAUGAUAAAGAAGCCUCAGAAAUCAAAACCAGGAGUAUUCUCAUUUCUGGAUCCCUUGGCUUAUGAAAUCUGGAUGUGCAUUGUCUUUGCUUACAUUGGUGUCAGUGUAGUUCUUUUCCUAGUCAGCAGAUUUAGCCCUUAUGAAUGGCACUUGGAAGACAACAAUGAAGAACCUCGUGACCCACAAAGUCCUCCUGAUCCUCCAAAUGAAUUUGGGAUAUUCAACAGUCUUUGGUUUUCCUUGGGUGCCUUUAUGCAGCAAGGAUGUGAUAUUUCUCCAAGGUCACUCUCUGGGCGCAUUGUUGGAGGGGUUUGGUGGUUCUUCACCCUGAUCAUAAUUUCUUCCUAUACUGCCAAUCUCGCUGCUUUCCUGACUGUGGAGAGGAUGGUUUCUCCUAUAGAGAGUGCUGAAGACUUAGCUAAGCAGACUGAAAUUGCAUAUGGGACCCUGGACUCUGGAUCAACAAAAGAAUUUUUCAGAAGGUCCAAAAUUGCUGUUUAUGAGAAAAUGUGGUCUUACAUGAAAUCAGCAGAGCCAUCUGUAUUUACCAAAACAACAGCAGACGGCGUGGCCCGAGUGCGGAAGUCCAAGGGAAAGUUCGCCUUCCUGUUGGAGUCAACCAUGAAUGAGUACAUUGAGCAGAGAAAACCAUGUGACACGAUGAAAGUUGGUGGAAAUCUGGAUUCCAAAGGCUAUGGUGUGGCAACCCCUAAAGGCUCAGCAUUAAGAACGCCUGUAAACCUUGCAGUAUUGAAACUCAGUGAACAAGGCAUCUUAGACAAGCUGAAAAACAAAUGGUGGUACGAUAAGGGGGAAUGUGGAGCCAAGGACUCCGGGAGUAAGGACAAGACCAGCGCUCUGAGCCUGAGCAAUGUGGCAGGCGUUUUCUAUAUACUUGUCGGAGGUCUGGGGCUGGCCAUGAUGGUGGCUUUGAUAGAAUUCUGUUACAAAUCACGGGCAGAGUCCAAACGCAUGAAACUUACAAAGAACACCCAAAACUUUAAGCCUGCUCCUGCCACCAACACUCAAAAUUAUGCUACAUACAGAGAAGGCUACAACGUGUAUGGAACAGAGAGUGUUAAGAUCUAGGGGCAAAUGGAUUUCAAUGGAGCAAGCCACAGAACCCUAUUUACCCUCUGUACCAGAUCCCUUCCUAUUAGAGGCAUGUGAGGAGAGGAAUCACCGAAAAUGUGGCUGCUUCAAGGAUCCUGAGCCAGAUUUCACUCUCCUUGGUGCCGGGCAUGACAUGAAUAUUGCUGAUGGUGCAAUGACCUUUCAAUAGGAAAAACUGAUUUUUUUUUUCCUUCAGUGCCUUAUGGAACACUCUGAGACUUGCAACAAUACAAACCAUCAUUGAAAUCUUUUUGCUUUGCUUGAGAAGAAAUAAAAUAAAACCAACAAAAAAUGGACAUGCAAGAUUCCAGUAUGUGAAAAAAAAUCUUAUUAAAAAAAGUCAAUUCAACAAAAGCCAUUCUUUGAUACCACUACACAGUACUUAAACACCAUGUUCUUUAAUACAUACACACACAAAAAAAAAUUAAAUUCCAGUUCAGCAAAUAGGCCCAUCUUAGCUAAAAUAAUUUCUCCUGAUAAAAAUCCUUUAACUCUCUGUGUGUGGGAAGACAAACUGGCAUUUCUUCUAGGAUCUGCUGACCAGAUGUUUUUGGUAUUUCCUGUUGGUGAUGAUGUUCUGUGCACACUACUUCUUUUCAACGUUGCUGAAAUGUAUAUAUCUUUAGACUGUAAAUGCAACAUUUAAGAAAAUUCAAAUACUUUGGAAAAAGGGACUCAACAGUUACUUCUCUGCAUUCUUAAAAUGCUUUGAUAACUUCCCACUCAGUGAAGGGAUUAACAGAGCUUUCAAAAUUGACUUGUGUGUAGUGAGGGAUGGGGCACGAUCAGGCAUACCUCUCGGUGCUUCCCUAAAACGAAUCCCUAGGGCUUUUCAAGAAGCCUGGAAUUUCAGCUCACAGAUCUGUUUUUCUUGCUUCAGUGUGCAUUUUAAGUCAAUAUAGCUCAGUAUCUAGCAUUGAGGUAAGGGAAAUGCUGCCUAUACUCCCAAAUAUGUCUAGAAUAUCUUUCUCAGAAACAACACUGUGUUUAGCUCUGCUUUAUCUGCUAAGUAUGCCUUUCAAGUGUACAUCACGGAGACAGUACUGUGUUGCAAAGCAAGCCAGUGGGUUCAGACCACAGAUUUCAAUCUGACUUUACUCUUGCUGGGUCUGUCUUACCAGCUGUUGCCUGUUACUGCCCACGGCUCUCCGUCAGACUGCAUGUGUCCUUUUCUAGUUUGCAAAGAAUAAAAUGCAUUCCCAAACCUACUGCUAAACUGAGGGCCUCAGCAUCACUCCAGGUCCUUGCUUGGAGCAGUGUCUCUACUGACUCUCAAGAAGAUCGCGCUGCUGCUCCACGGGCUAUCAAGUAACUAAUUGUGUACCUGCCAUUGGCAUCAUCAGAACAGUCAGAGGAAAUAGUCGCUCACUAAUUACCUCCUAUAUAACGACGUAUGCUUUCUGUAGUUCAAUAGUUUGCUCUCAUCAGUGACAUGCAUUGGGAAGUUUCCAGACUGUAAAAACUAAGAGCUCGAAUUUAUUUCCCAAGUGUGACCUUUAGAUGCUUAGUUGACUUGCUGAAAAUUUGCUCUUGUCUUCAGAAAAGAAAGGAAGAAAUCUCGUUCCAACAAAAUGUUUCUAGAAAAGUGUAAUAUAAACUUUCAUUCCAAAAAAAAGUGUGUCAUAAGUGAAUAACUUAUCUGUCAAAUUUUAAAUGGUAUUGAACAAAAAAAAAGAAAGCUGUUGUGUUUUUGUUUUGUUUUUACGAAACUGUAAUUUUCAACUUCUGAAUGCUAUAAUGUUCCAGUGCGGGAAACUAAUGCUGUGCAAAUAUGAAGUUAACAUAAAACAAACCAACCUACCUACAGACAAAUGUUUUCAUAGGCACUGUAUAAAAAGAAAUGUAUGUUUAUUGACUCAAAUAAGUUUUUCAGAGAGAAACUUAACUGAGAAUGAAAAGGCGGGUAUAUUGGUUUGUUAUUUUUUUAAAAUCUGCAUGUUUAAAAAACAUUGAUUGCUUCAAAUUUCUGCUACUAACUUCAAGCUAUGGGAGUUUGGCGGUAGUCACUUGAGGAUUUUUUCCCAAGUCUUUUUGUUGUUAAAGCUGUACUUCAGUGAACAGAAAAAUUGCCAAGCAAACUAAUGGCUGUAAAAGCAUAAAUUGCAUGUAUGGGUACAAAUUACGGAGCCUCAUUGCCAUGAGGUAUUGUACAAAGUUUUAAUACAUUUUGUAAAUAAAAUUGUAAAGAAAGAA